rnacentral:misc_RNA from 1 species
UCCUCUGGCCUGUGAUGCAAUU